rnacentral:lncRNA from 1 species
AGCAAGGACCGGGGCGGCGGUGGGGCAGGGGUGUAGAGCUCGGGUUCCCAGCGGAAAGCAUGUCCAAGGAGCGGCUGCCGGCGAGGUGAUGCUUCUGCCUGGGCCUACUUGGGACCGGAAACUAUCAAGAUCUCCACUUAGGGAAGUGGGAAUCUUAUUUGCGGAACAUUGGGCAGAAGCUUUGCCAUUGGCUGGUGGAGAAGGAGGAGGCAGAAUGUCUGCAUUGUUACACCAUACAGCUCAAACUUCAGAAGAUUUUGGGUUAAGCAGUUAUCAUUAGUCUGCAAAUGAUCGUGUUUUCACCUGAUCAUUAGAAACUAAUGAAACACCUUUUAAGUCUUAUGAAUUCAGGUUACACUGUUUUCCAGAUGCCUUGGCAGCUGGUACAGGGCCUCUGAAAAAUGGAACCAAAUUCUCUGAGGACUAAAGUCCCAGCUUUCUUAUCUGAUUUGGGGAAGGCCACAUUGAGGGGAAUCAGAAAGUGUCCCCGAUGUGGCACAUACAAUGGAACCCGGGGACUGAGCUGUAAGAACAAGACAUGUGGAACCAUAUUCCGCUACGGUGCACGCAAGCAGCCU